UACGGGAGGCAGCAGUGGGGAAUAUUGCACAAUGGGCGAAAGCCUGAUGCAGCUAUGCCGCGUGUAUGAAGAAGGCCUUAGGGUUGUAAAGUACUUUCAUCGGGGAGGAAAAACAAAACUAAUAAUUUUAUUUCUUGACGUUACCCGAAAAAGAAGCACCGGCUAACUCCGUGCCAGCAGCCGCGGUAAUACGGGGGUGCUAGCGUUAAUCAGAAUUACUGGGCGUAAAGAGCACGUAGGUGGUUUUUUUAAGUCAGAUGUGAAAUCCCUGGGCUUAACCUGGAACUGCAUUUUGAAACUGAAAUACUAGAGUAUCGUAGAGGGAGGUAGAAUUCUAGGUGUAGCGGUGAAAUGCGUAGAUAUCUGGAGGAAUACCUGUGGCGAAAGCGGCCUCCUAAACGAAUACUGACACUGAGGGUGCGAAAGCGUGGGGAGCAAACAGGGAUUAGAUACC
rnacentral:rRNA from 1 species